UCGCCUGUUCAUCAAAAACAUCACCUCUAGCAUCACCAGUAUUAGAGGCACCGCCUGCCCAGUGACACAUGUUUAACGGCCGCGGUACCCUAACCGUGCAAAGGUAGCAUAAUCACUUGUUCCUUAUCGCCUGUUUAUCAAAAACAUAGCCCAAAGAUUUAUUUUAGGUAAAUUCUGCCCAGCGUAAUUUAUUAGCGGCCGCAGUACUUUGACUGUGCUAAGGUAGCAUAAUCAAUUGGCUUUUAAUUGUAGUCUGGAAUGAAAGGACUAAUAGGGGUUAGCUGUCUCUAUACUAUUAUUUUGAAUUUAUUUAUUAAGUGAAAAUACUUAUACAAAGAAAAAAGACGAGAAGACCCUUAGAAUUUUAAUAAAAUAUUUAAUAAUUUUUUUUUGUUGGGGCGACAUUGAAACAAUUAAACUUUCAUUGACAAUCAAGACAUUUAGGUUUGAAAGAGUAAAUUACCUUAGGGAUAACAGCAUAAUUAAUUAUUUAGUUUGUGACCUCGAUGUUGGACUAGGAACUAGAAGAUUAACCGUCUAAAUAGAUGUCGU
rnacentral:rRNA from 1 species